rnacentral:lncRNA from 1 species
CACUACCCCACCUGAUACCUCCUGGCUUAUCUUUAGAUGGCUCUGACUGUUAAGAACGAAAUUCAUCCUUCUUGAGAGAAUUCUGGUACUCCUGAGGGUCAGGUUCAGCUGCACCUCAUGCCUACAACACCCACAUCUCUACCUGCAAGCCAGAUCCUGCUCCUCAAAGGCACCACCUGCCAUAUGCCUGAGCACUGAGCUGGGCACCAAGAAUACAGAGACAAAAGACGCCAUCAGAGAUAUGAGGAAACUGAAGCACAGAGUUAAAAUAACUUACUCAAAGCAGGAGCUGAGAUCCAAUCCAGGCAGAAAUCCUGGACUAUUGAAACAUUCUCAGCUGGUAUCUGCCUCCCUGGGGGCUCACCCCAGCUCUUCUCUUCACCCAAACCAGAGUGAAUGUCAU